rnacentral:lncRNA from 1 species
GGUAUUUGUAUAUUUUUAAGGUGACAAUAAUGGCGGCUGCCGCCCCAAUUGUCCAUGCAAAGCCAAAGGAAAAAUGUCCCGGACAACGAGUUCCACAACACCAGCUGCCGCAACAAGAAAUAAAACAAAGCAAGUUGCAACAAUCAUGCAUCACCCAACUGUCUGAAAAAUGAAGAAGAACAAAGAAGAAGGUGAAGAAGAUUAUGAUUCAACGUUGAAUAGAUAGUAAUUCCGUACCAAAUUCCCAUUUUUGUUUUUUUUUCUUUGAAUGACUAAAGAACAAAAAACAAAACAGAGACUUGAUGUGUUUACAUUGGUUAAGAGUUUUAACAGCUCGACGUGCUUGAUAUUGUUGAAUUUUACUUGCAAAAACAAGUACGACAGGUGUUUGAAAAAAUGUUCCAAUGGAAAAUUUGGGGGUUUUUUUCACAUAUUCUCACGCGUUGUUGUUGAUUUGAG